rnacentral:rRNA from 1 species
GAACGGAAAUGACACGCUGAUGCGAUUUCGGUCAAAUCUUGUGGCAUUUCAGUGGCGGACGGGUGAGUAACGCGUGGGUAACCUGCCUUACACAGGGGGAUAACACCUGGAAACAGGUGCUAAUACCGCAUAAGCGCACAGGGCCGCAUGGCCCGGUGUGAAAAACUCCGGUGGUGUAAGAUGGACCCGCGUCUGAUUAGCUUGUUGGCGGGGUAGAGGCCCACCAAGGCGACGAUCAGUAGCCGGCCUGAGAGGGUGGACGGCCACAUUGGGACUGAGACACGGCCCAAACUCCUACGGGAGGCAGCAGUGGGGGAUAUUGGACAAUGGGGGAAACCCUGAUCCAGCGACGCCGCGUGAGUGAAGAAGUAUUUCGGUAUGUAAAGCUCUGUCAGCAGGGAAGAAAGAAAUGACGGUACCUGACCAAGAAGCCCCGGCUAACUACGUGCCAGCAGCCGCGGUAAUACGUAGGGGGCAAGCGUUAUCCGGAAUUACUGGGUGUAAAGGGAGCGUAGACGGUGAUGCAAGUCUGGAGUGAAAGGCGGGGGCCCAACCCCCGGACUGCUCUGGAAACUGUAUGACUUGAGUGCAGGAGAGGUAAGCGGAAUUCCUAGUGUAGCGGUGAAAUGCGUAGAUAUUAGGAGGAACACCAGUGGCGAAGGCGGCUUACUGGAC